GAUUGGGCCGGGCCUCACCGAGCGCGCCCAGGAGGCCGUAGGUCUCGCGCAUCACAUCCCGGUACAGAGUCCUCUGAGCGGGCUGCAGACACCCCCACUCCUCCGAGGAGAAGUACACGGCUACGUCCGCGAACUUCAAGGCCCUUGGCCUCCUGCCCCUUUUCCGAGUAGGUCCAGCCUCUCCGGGUGCCCGCAGGAGAAGCGGAGCCGAAGGUGGCGCCAUCGGACCUGCUCCCCGGCCUUGCCACGGGGACCCGGAGACCUAGAAGCUCCGUCGGGAAGGCCCGGAGGAAAUCUGAAUCGGCUGCCUGAAGGGCCGGGCGGCCCGACACAGACCGUUAUUCAGGGAACUCCCGGUGGAACUUGGGUGAGAGGCACCGGAAGAUGCCUUCGGGGAAGAUGGCGGCGCUGCUUCUGCACCACCGCUGCCUAGAACACAGGCAGGUUCCAGCUAUCGAUUUUAUUGACCCGAACGCCAUGCCGACUUCUUAACCUCCCUGCCCUAAAGUGUAAUGGCGCUGCGAGAUGGCUUCUUGCCUACUUUCCUCCUAUCUAUUGCAUUCGUUUAUUGAUUGGUAGCUGAAGAUCGGGCGUUCUGAUUGGGUGUCAGUGAAGGCGGCCCAUUUGAAUGAAGCCAACGGAUUCUUAAGGGCAAGAAGGUGGCUCCUGUGUCUCUAAGCAGGUAGUGAGAAGUGUUAUGAAUGGGAAGCUCUUCUUGUGUUCUCCAACGUUUGUUUGCCCUACUUGGAGAAGACGUUUCUACAGGUCUUCCAAAGGGAAAGUCACACAGUGACAACAUGGAUUUUUGAACAGCUACAUCCUACGAUCAUAAAGGUGUCACAGCCAGGAAUUCUGAAAAGUACUAGAUGAGAAGGGAGCGGUGGUAACGAUCUGAUGCAAAAAGGCGCGUCUGGUAAAACUGAAUGACUAGAAUG
ensembl:processed_transcript